ensembl:lncRNA
CCCAGUUUUUCAGAGGAGCUCACCCUGCCCCACCUGCUGCCCCACUCUCCAGGUGAGUCUGGGCAAUGAUGAUUUACCACAGGGAAAAGAAGACUCUGCUGCUGGUGGUCAGGGGUGAUGGAGUCAACACUGAACGAGAUCCCACAUGGUUGCAUGGAGCAGACCAGGAGCCAGCAAUGGCAGAAAGGUAAUUCAGCUCUUCUUUGAAAAAAAAAAAAAACCCUGUGGAAAGCACUCAAGUGUGUAUAAUUUACACCCAUUCUUGGUUGGCUGGUUUUGGUUUUUUUGCUAGAAGCAUGGCCACAGGGUAUGUAAAUGAAGAAAAUUAGAAAAAUUCUCUUUUGGAAAAAAGGAAUCAUGCCAUCUCAAAAGCAUCACUUUCCCAUUAAAGAUGUAUUUCCCUUUUACAGCUGAAGAAAAUCCUGCCUGAAUGUGAACUAUUUAGUAGUUCAUAUUAUGUUCUUUUGCACUAAGCUGGUGAAACAGAACUUCUCUGGGGAGACUCACACAGAUAUUUCAUGAGUUUCUUUUUUUCCUCCCAUUUUAUUUUCAAGUUUUCUAUGUGCAAAACCUAAUAUCUUGUUUUCCUUUUUUUCCCAGAGAGAGAAAAUGAUCCUGAUUCAAAGCAGCAUCGAAAUACAAGGCUCUGCCAGAUGUUACAUAAACAAUGAUGUAAUGCCAAAGUAUUUCAUUACACAUGCAGCUCUGUUCUUCAGCCCAGAAGUGAUUUAUUACAUUUUGUCAAUCCCAUUUUAUGUACCCACAUCAUUUUUACAUCAUUUUUCUUCAUGACAUUGUUACAUUCUCACAGAAGCGCAUAGAGAUAACAUGAUAACAGUGCAGGCAAUGAAGUUAGCAUUUUACAAAUAAUGUUACUAAUAAAUAAGUAUACCAGUGAGGGGGAAAUGGUCUGUCUGAGAGAGUGAAAAGCAAAUUUACCUUUGAAUAAUCUGAUGGGGGGAAGAGGCCAUAGUUCCAACAAGAAAACCGAGGUUGUAUCCUCUUGAAGCAUCUUCUGCCUUCAUGCAGAACAGUGAGAAAAUGCCUCUCUUGCCUGUUUUCGGCUUAAUCUCACAUUCUCUUUGUUUUCCUAAUGUGUUCUGUGUGCUGCCAGCUAGAUACGAUACACCAGCUUCUUGGUCGGAAAGAUUCAUCAGCGGGUGCAAGAAGAUCAGCACUUAAAAUCUGUUUUGACCCUGAAAUUAUCAAUCCUUAGGAUACAUUAGCCUUUUUUUUUGUUUGUUUUUCUGAUCUUCCACCAAGAUUUGUUAGAAAAAGCACACACAGCAACAUCACUUGAUACAAAGAGAAAAGGAAUUCCAGAAACAAUAAGAUGAAAAGAUAUAAAGGUUGUGCCAAAAUAACGCAGCAGGAUGCUUAAAAGAUGCAGUCCUACAGGAAUAUGGUUAAAGAAAAUAACCCAUCUGAUGAGCUGGAUGCCAAAAAUCCUGUUAGAUGACUGAAGCAGAGAAGAUGCCUUUCUAGCAGGCAGCCAUUAAACUGCAUAAUGCAAAAUGAUGCAGAGAGAAGCUGCAGUUGGUAAUAAUUUGAAAUGUCCUCGUUCCAAGCAGCACAGGGCCAAAUACUGCUUUUGCUAUGUCACUAAAAAAUAAAAGAAAUUUGAAAUGCCAUUUUAAAUGUUAUGUCCCUCUUUGACACGUAAAAGGCAUUUUUCUCUUUUAAGCAGAGUCUCUGCAAGACAGUAUUUGUUACUCGGUGGUUAAGGUAAGUGUCAGCAGAAUACUUAAGUAUAUGCUUAAUUCUUACUAAUUUCAGUGGUGAAGCACAUGCUCAGAGAUUUGGCUAAAGCAAAGCUUCCUUCUCCCUUUCUUUGUGAUAUGCUUGGGCCCUAUUCCAAAGCCCAUUCAAAGUUGUCUGGGGCCACCCACUGACUGCAUUGUAUCCUGGAUUUCAAUGCAGAGUACUCAGCCUACCCCAAAGCAUCAGUGUUUUGCAGAGAAAAUUCUAUGCUUACAAAUAGCUGAGUGUUUCCAGGACCUGGAUGGCAAAAGUAAGCUGUUUAGAAGGGAAACUUUGCCUUCUGCUCCAGGACACCUUUCAGUAGAUGUCUGGUCCACAGCUACUCUUAUUGUCUAAAGUCAGUGUACAGAUAAGCUGGGGUUUAUUUUCACUCCCUGCAUGUGUUUCAGACUAUUCCUAACUAACACUGUGGUUGUGCUAGCAGGCUGGGACUCGUUUCUGUUCCUCAGCUGAUGAAAAUCAACUUUCCACUGAAGGUAAGCAGAGAGUAGAGGUGGAAAAACUUCAAGAUACCACACCUUUUCCAUCUUCGGUUAACGUUAGAUCUUGCCAAGCAGCAUCUUUUUAAAAAAAUCAAACCUUUCUACAGUUACUGUUUAUUUACUCACACAACACAGAUUCAAACAGCCACAGUACCGCCAUUAGUUCAGAAGAGGAGUAUGUGGGCAAAGGCAGGCACAGAAAAGAGAAAGGACUUGCCAAGGCCAUGCAGAAGAUGAAUGACAGAGCCAGAAACAAAGCCAGGUCUCCCAAACCCCUAGCUACUACAGUGAAACUCCAACAGAGAGCAGAGCUUAUCUCUUCAUGGAAAAUGCUAAUGGAUAGUUUUGGAUGUUCAGUCUCUUGGCCGGAAUGCAUCUCCAGGUGCUCAGCGGCAGGUGCCUCAGCUGCAGGUGAGGCAUCAAGAGACCAGUUAGAAGGCACGUUUCUGGCAGGGGCAUGAAGAGCCCACAGACUCUCUCACCUUACUUCAGGUCCAGUGAAGGUGGCCUAAAUGGGAUACACUCCCCUCUCAUGUUCAGAGGUGUAAAUGGAGAGUGAUGUGGGCAAGGUCCAUGCGAGAUUAUCUGCCAUUCAGUGAAUCCAGCUCCUCCAGUAACAAUGUUGUGGGCACAGGAAAGCCAGGGUUUGAGUCUCACUUCUACAACACGCCAUACUGAAUGAAAUGCAAAGGUAUCAGGAGAAACUAGAGGGCUCUCUCUGAAGUUUAGCAUGGAUGAGUAGACCUAUACAGAAAACAGGAACUGCAGACCUAAGAAAGAUAUGCACAAAGCUGCAUUGGCUAAAAGUCUGAGUCUUAAGUGUUUUAAAAAUGUAUCAGGAUGGAAGGCAGCGCACUGAGUCAUGUUAUAGGCACCAUAUAUCAAGGCUAUUCACAUAAAGCUUUCUUGAUACUUUCCCUCUUCUACAGGUCAUAUCUGCCAAAGCAUACAUGUAAACAUCAGUAACAUUAUAAAAGCCAAUGCAUAUUUUAAGAUCCAGUCCUACUAAAGGUUAAAUACAAAUAUACGUAACAGGGAAAUCAAUUGGAUCUUGGAAACAUAAUGAAGGAGAUCAUGGAAACAGCAACUGCUUAGUGUCGCUUAGGACCAGCAACACCAAAAAUGAUAAGCGUGGAUUGCUUAUAUUAAUAAAUAAAUAUUAAUCUUGUCCCGCUCAAAGACCAUAGAACAUACUUCCCAUGUCCACCUGCACUUCUUGAGAAUGUGAGAUAAAAUAACCCCAACUGCCUCAGCAGAAAUACAUACAUGUUUCUUGACAUUUCUUCAUGCUUAAAAAUCACUUUUCCAAACAAAGUUGCUCUUGCCUUUUUUGCCUUCAUUUUAAUGCCCCAGACAAACUGUCCCAAGCAGCUUGUUCACAUCCAUAAAAUCAAAAAAUUCUGGACUCUAGAUUUCCUUGGUAACCGGUGAGCAGCCAGCAAAACAUCCUCACACAUCAGCCCACAGGAUUUCAUGUCUUCACCAGGAAAAUGUGGCACUACAAAAACAAAACUGCACUAACUCACCUGGAUGGGAGCAUUUUUCUUCUGAUUAUAGCAGCUCUGGAACAGUCAUGCACUGUCCUUUUUGUCCAAAGGCAUAAGAAGAGACAAUAAGUUUUAUCCUAUUGAUGAUUUGUUGAUUAAUGGCUUCUUAAUAGUCAAGGUCAUUUACUAAAUAUUCAACGUGACUGAUGCAACAUAAUGUGGUAAUAUUCUCACAUCAAGGGACAUCAAAAAUGAACCUUGAGGACAGAAUUCUCCCAUUCCUAUUCCCAACAGUGGGCAUUUAUAAAGCUACAAUAAGCCUCCAACUGCACAUUGAAACACCAAAUUUAUACGCAGGAGUCUGACUUGCAAAGUGAAUACAGAAAAUUUACUUUCUGUAUGUUUCAAGAUGUAGAGGCUCCUUAUGUUAUUACUGUUAAAAAAAUAAAAAUAA